GAGGGUGUAGCUCAGGGGUAGAGCGCGUGUUUAGCAUGCACGAGGUCCUGGGUUCCGUCCCCAGCACCUCCA
rnacentral:tRNA from 1 species